AUUGAACGCUGGCGGCAGGCCUAACACAUGCAAGUCGAACGAGUGGCGGACGGGUGAGUAAUGUCUGGGAACCUGCCUGAUGGCGGGGGAUAACUACUGGAAACGGUGGCUAAUACCGCAUACCAUCAGAUGGGCCCAGAUGGGAUUAGCUUGUUGGUGGGGUAACGGCUCACCAAGGCGACGAUCCCUAGCUGGUCUGAGAGGAUGACCAGCCACACUGGAACUGAGACACGGCCCAGACUCCUACGGGAGGCAGCAGUGGGGAAUAUUGCACAAUGGGGGCAAGCCUGAUGCAGCCAUCCCGCGUGUAUGAAGAAGGCCUUCGGGUUGUAAAGUACUUUUAGCGGGGAAGCGUUACCCGCAGAAGAAGCACCGGCUAACUACGUGCCAGCAGCCGCGGUAAUAC
rnacentral:rRNA from 1 species